CCGUGCUAAAUGGGGCGGUCGCGGUUCCCUGUAACCCACAACCCGCUUUAGUGGGGUUGAAGCCUUUUUGCGGUCUUUUCAUUUCUUGGAUUUUCUUGUGUAAGCGGUGUUUGAAGUGAUUGGUCCCUUGCGAUAAGAAGCUUCCCAACCCGGCCAGGCGGGGAACCGAGCAACCGUCAGAACCUCCCUUAUGUGCAAAGGGGUGCUAAUCAUUAGCUGGCUGCAUAAAGAUGCCUUGAAAAGGGAGAUCAAAAGAGGGCGCACGG
rnacentral:SRP_RNA from 1 species